rnacentral:rRNA from 1 species
CGGAGGAAAAGAAACUAACAAGGAUUCCCCUAGUAACGGCGAGUGAAGAGGGAAGAGCCCAAGAUUGAAAGCUGGCGUCUUCGGCGUCCGCAUUGUAAUCUCAAGAAGUGUUUUCCGCUUCGGACCAUGCCUAAGUCCCUUGGAAAAGGGCAUCAUAGAGGGUGAUAAUCCCGUACAUGGCAUGGAGCGCCCGAAGCUUUGUGAUACGCUUUCUAAGAGUCGAGUUGUUUGGGAAUGCAGCUCAAAAUGGGUGGUAAAUGCCAUCUAAGGCUAAAUAUUGGGGAGAGACCGAUAGCGAACAAGUACAGUGAUGGAAAGAUGAAAAGAACUUUGAAAAGAGAGUUAAACAGUACGUGAAAUUGCCAAAAGGGAAGGGUAGGAGGUCAGAGAUGCGUUUCGGGAUUCAGCCUUGCUUUUGCUUGGUGUUUUUCCCAAAUUGCAGGCCAACGUCGGUUUUGGGCGCUGGAGAAGGGUGGAAGGAACGUGGCACCCCUCGGGGUGUGUUAUAGCCUUCUACUGGAUACAGUGACCGAGACCGAGGACAGCAGCGUACUCGCAAGAGCGGGCCUUCGGGCACCUUUACGCUUAGGGCGUUGGCAUAAUGGCCCUCUACCACCCGU